CCGAAUAAAUUGAGAAAUAUAUACCCCAUAAGAUGUAGCCUGAGGUACAUCCCCAUCCAAAUGGGGAAAAUUUACAAUACUGAAAUUAAAAUCAUCCCUCUUGUCAUAAAUUUUGGUAUGUAUAAGAUAGCCCAUAAUAGCGAGAUCAAAGCUUUCUGCGCAUGUCCAAAAUAUAUCUGUCACCGUUCAUUGUUUACAUAUUUAAAACAAUAAAUUUCAUCAGAAAAUGAAUAAAUAAUUAACAUAUUUUUGGUACUUAUUGAAGAGUUAAAAGUUAUGCAUUAACAAAUAAUUCGUUUGGUUUUACCUAUUUAACACAAUUACCGAGUAAAAUAAACAACAACCUAACUGACAUUGACAAUAAUUUGGCUACGACAUCCGUUUUGUGUCUAUUUUUAGAAAUCACAUGGUCAGAAAAUUUCUAUUUAUUUUAACUAAUCAAAUGGGUUUUAUUACAGUUUUCAAUUGAAAACGAGGCUUGAGGCAUCCCACUAUGCCCAUACGAUUUAGAACAAUAGUACUGCGUAAAAAACAUUUGUUUUAGAAAACAAAAAUCCUUAGUUUUUGACGCGUAAAUUCAUCAUGAAGGUGUGGAUGCUUCAAAAAUCUUCGCUAUUUGUUAGAUUGUAAAAAGAUUGAGCUUCAAUAUGCGACUAACCCCUUCUAAAUGGAGAAAGGCGGAUAUUUGCGGGUUUUUUUUAUACGAAGUGAGGUACCCGUUUAGAGCCUCAAAAGAGUUAUCCCGUAUUAUCUCCCUUAGCGCACGCGCACAUGAUUUCAAUGGCGGCAACGAGAAAGUAACUGACAAGGCAACCAUUUUUCCAUUUGCAUUUUUUGCGUCGUUAACGCCUGUGAUACGUAAGGAAAUAUAAGUAUAAAUGUUAGUACAUCCAUGUUUUACUGAACUGGACGCAAUUCUAGCGAUGUCAGUCAUUCUUAUUCAAGUGAAGCUGAACUUUCCGAAGAAUAAACAAUACACCACCCACCGCAGCCGCAGGCGCAGUUAUAAAAAAAGCCUUAGAAGGUGUAAACUCGGUUAUGACUGUUCAUGGCCGUCUGUUCGUGCCAGUAUCAGACUAAACUGCAAGUUUAAUGGUAUAACCUGUCAUUGUGAGAGUAGAAUUAUUAAAGAAAAAUGUGUUUGUCAUUGCGACCACGACGGAAAAAAAAUUGAGUAUGAAUGAAUAGCCUGACUUGUCACUUGCUUUGAAUUUAGCUUGAAAUCUGAAAUUUCCUAGGAGCAGGAGUAGCAAGGACCAGUCUUGAAGUUGAAGUUUACAUGCCUAUCUUCCAACUUUCUAAUCAUGAUCGUUACUAACGUUAGCGGGACUCGAACCCCUUUCAGUGAGAGAUUUAGUUGGUCGGGUUUAGUCGAUAACCUUAACAAACCAGUUUGUGCAUUGCAUUGUCAUGUAGCGACAAUAUACAGCCCUAUUUUAAAGCAGCAUCAGACAAAUAGAAAAUUUACUUUUUUUCUCUUCAGUUGAAAAUUUACGACGAGUAUGAGUACGAACGAGGACUUCAAAUACGACAGUGACAGAGAUAUUUUUGCAAGCUCACCCAUUUAGGUCAUUGACACUGACAGCGAUCGUUCAACGCAACCUCCACAGGAUGAUCAUGUGUUAUGUAUAAGUAUAAGCUCUGAGUCGGAUCCCUGAGGCUUCUCAUUUGGUUUGCGCUAGUCAGCCUAGUGCUGAUUUAUUCUCGCAGGCUGUACCAAGUCCAGUGUUUGCCAGCAAGAAGGUGAAACUCCAGAAACAUCAGAUAUCUGUGUACCGGAAUAAUUCCUCUCAGACUGAUAUAAGCACAAUCAACAACCAGGCUGAGAAGCUUUUCAGCAGAUGCCUUAAGCAGGUUCCAGGAUUUCCCACUUGGUUUAACAUUACAUUGACGGGGAUCGAGCGGUCUAUACGUAUGAGCUACUGGUGGAUCAGAAAAUUGGAUGAUUGAAGCUGCUUGUUUAAGGGCUGUGUAUAUUGCCAGAUACAGACAAGAUGCACUCUGACGAGAGGACUAUUAACGGUUGGGUUGCCGAGAUGCAGAUAUCAAAGUGUAUAAACUUAACUGGUCAUAAAAUAGAUAUAGUUCAAUACAUGUUGUUGCUUUUUCGGUGAGAUGUUGUCGGAUCGAAUCUGUACAUGACUGUUGACUUAAAGUACAAUAACUAUGUUUGGACAUUUGGAAGAAAAAACAACACAAAAACAGUAUGGAUGAUAAAGCACAAAGAUAUGUAUUAAGAUUCGUGCCUUCCUUGUGUUUGAUGUGGCUUUAUUGUUUGAAUUAUUAUAUCUUAUUUUCAUAUGAAAUGACUAUUUUUCCAUAAUAUGUCUAUGUGUUGUCAAUAUAUGAUGCAUUAUGAAAUAAAUAGUUGGCACUGAAAUGGUAAAACUGAGCUUUUAGGACCAUUCUCCGAAUAAAGUCUUGCAUUUAAGCCUUCAGAUAGUGGACUUUUUAUCUCACCUGUGAGCACAAAGUGCUCAUGGUGAGGUAUUGUGAUCAUGCUGUGUCCGUCGUCCGUCCGUUCUUCAAGUCGUCCAUUGUCAACAAUUGUGUUUAAACGACAUCUCCUCCAAAACCAUUGAAUGGAUUUUGAUGAAACUUGGCCUGGAUGUUCUUCGAGUGGUCCUCUUCCAAAGUUGUUCAAAUGGUUCCGCUUGGUUGC